ACCGCGAACGGGUGAGUAACACGUGGGUAACCUGCCCCGAUGAUUGGGACAACCCGAGGAAACUCGGGCUAAAUACCGAAUGUGCCCCUAUGGCCUCAAGGCCGCUAGGGAAAGGAAGCUUCGGCCUCCGCAUCGGGAUGGGCCCGCGGCCCAUUAGCUUGUUGGUGGGGUAAUGGCCCACCAAGGCGACGACGGGUAGCCGGCCUGAGAGGGCGACCGGCCACACUGGGACUGAGACACGGCCCAG
rnacentral:rRNA from 1 species